rnacentral:rRNA from 1 species
UACUCCUACGGGAGGCAGCAGUGGGGAAUAUUGGACAAUGGGGGAAACCCUGAUCCAGCGACGCCGCGUGGGUGAAGAAGUAUUUCGGUAUGUAAAGCUCUAUCAGCAGGGAGAAAAUGACGGUACCUGACUAAGAAGCCCCGGCUAACUACGUGCCAGCAGCCGCGGUAAUA